CGAUGGGAUUAUGCGAAGCUAUGGGCGAGGUCAGUACAGCUUUUCUUCAAAUUUGACUGACGCACUUGCCGUAUGGUGCUGUUAAGGUCAAUGUCAGCGGGGAAUUCCGUGCUGCUUGUGUCAAAUCCAUGACGUUCAAGGAUGGUUGCAUGAUACCAUCUGGAAGCCCUGUCAACGAUUACAUCGACAGUGCCGUUAGACACGUCAUGUUGCGGCAGGCACGUGUGGACAUUUUUUGUCUAAUGGUGGCUGUUUCUUCAUGCUAGAGACCUAUUACACUUCUACAACGUUUCAUGUUUUUAAUGCUACAUCAUUUUCUACAGAAAUAUGAGACUUGUCAGUUGUCUUCCUUACUGUGCAGGGAGUAUUGGGUAUCAAGGUGAAGAUUAUGCUCGACUGGGACCCCAAGGUCAAGCAAGGAUCUGUGACUCUACUUCCAGAUGUGGUGACCAUUCACAUGCUCGAAGAGGACGAGAAUUUUUACCCACAAGGCUUAUAUUGGAAAAAAUAGCAGAGAUGUAAAACUUGGCUUUAAGAAUAAUACAGUUUUUAAAUUGAGCCCGAAAUUGUAUCCAUUUUGCGAUUAUGAAUCGUUUGCUAGAGU
rnacentral:lncRNA from 1 species